rnacentral:lncRNA from 1 species
AAAUCAUCAAUACCCCACACCCUAACGUCGCUCGGCAUUCCCUCGGUCCCACUCCCACCUCCCACCAAAAUCAAUCGCGUGAUUUCCUCCGCCUUCAUCGCCGCCUCCUUCCCACUCCGCCACUCCCUCACAUCAGCUCCUGUGGCCGCUCCCGUCUUCGCCGCCGCCGCCCGCCGGUGCCUCCCUCCACCACCACCUGGGCCCCGCCUCCUUGCCAUUCACGAACAGGAGUUUCGGCAGCCCGCCUCCUCCACGGCCGUCCAGUCUGCCGCCCUCAACGCCGAUCACGCCGUCCAGUCCGCCCGCACCCUCCGCCGCCAUCUCCAAAAGCCCUGCCGCCGCCACGAGAUCCAGGCGAGCAUGAUGGAAGACGUGGAUGCGGCUCCAGUGGUUGAUUGGGUGGCAACGAGGAUGAACCGCAGCUGACUGCACCCAUGCACAACCGCAACCAACUAGCUAAAGGGAUGUUGGGGCUUUGGUCCUUGAGAUCAUGCAUAUUGCAAGAGAAACCUAAUCUGAGUUUCAAAAGUGGAUGGUGCAGCUGUUCCGUUUGAUUGCAAAAUGCCCGAAUAGCUUUGACUUUCAAGUGUUUGGGGUCAAGUCUGUAGUUUGCAAGGAGUGAACCUCAUUGUCCGUUCGUUGGGGAGACCUCCUCCUCCACCGCUGUCCAGUCCGCUGCCCCCAGUUCGCACGUUUGAGGGGGAACAUUGAUUUGUUCUUUAGAAAUUCAAUAAAUAGGCAUUUUUUCAUUUAGCCAUUAAACUCUGGAGGAACUACAGAAUAAACUUGUAGAUGCAGAGGCCAGAAUGGAUUUGUAAGAGGCAAUGGAUUUUAGUAUUCAGUAAUCUUUGAUUUCAGCUUGUCAAUUUGAUGCGUAACCUUCUGUUU